rnacentral:tRNA from 1 species
CAGAAGGUAGUUUAAUGAAAAUAUUUGCUUUGGGGGCAAGAGAUGAGAAGUCGUUCUUUCUUCUGA